UACGGGAGGCAGCAGUGGGGAAUAUUGCACAAUGGGCGCAAGCCUGAUGCAGCCAUGCCGCGUGUAUGAAGAAGGCCUUCGGGUUGUAAAGUACUUUCAGUCGUGAGGAAGGUGUUAAGGUUAAUAACCUUAGCAAUUGACGUUAGCGACAGAAGAAGCACCGGCUAACUCCGUGCCAGCAGCCGCGGUAAUACGGAGGGUGCGAGCGUUAAUCGGAAUUACUGUGCGUAAAGGGCACGCAGGCGGUUAAUUAAGUUGGAUGUGAAAUCCCCGGGCUUAACCUGGGAAUGGCAUUCAAGACUGGUUAGCUAGAGUCUUGUAGAGGGGGUAGAAUUCCAUGUGUAGCGGUGAAAUGCGUAGAGAUGUGGAGGAAUACCGGUGGCGAAGGCGGCCCCUGGGACAAAGGACUGACGCUCAUGUGCGAAAGCGUGGGGAGCAAACAGGAUUAGAUACC
rnacentral:rRNA from 1 species